GUGCCAGCCGCCGCGGUAAUACGGAGGGUGCAAGCGUUAAUCGGAAUUACUGGGCGUAAAGCGCACGCAGGCGGUUUGUUAAGUCAGAUGUGAAAUCCCCGGGCUCAACCUGGGAACUGCAUCUGAUACUGGCAAGCUUGAGUCUCGUAGAGGGGGGUAGAAUUCCAGGUGUAGCGGUGAAAUGCGUAGAGAUCUGGAGGAAUACCGGUGGCGAAGGCGGCCCCCUGGACGAAGACUGACGCUCAGGUGCGAAAGCGUGGGGAGCAAACAGGAUUAGAUACCCUGGUAGUCCACGCCGUAAACGAUGUCGACUUGGAGGUUGUGCCCUUGAGGCGUGGCUUCCGGAGCUAACGCGUUAAGUCGACCGCCUGGGGAGUACGGCCGCAAGGUUAAAACUCAAAUAAAUUGACGG
rnacentral:rRNA from 1 species